rnacentral:tRNA from 1 species
GUGUGCGUAAUUUAAAAAAAAUAUCAAGUUGUGACCUUGAAAAUANAUGACCUCGCACAC